CUGCCUUCCUCAGCACAGAGACACUGGGAGGCAGCUGUGGGCAGAUGACUCCUAUGCGCUGGCAGCUCUCUGCAGUUUCCAAAGCCCUGUCUCAUCCAGUAGCGCUGAUGGGCUUCUCUGAGCCUCAGUUUCCUCUGUAAAAUGGAGAGAAAACACUGAUGCCUGCUCCCCCGCCCACCCUCACAGGGCACUCUUUGCCUGCUAAAGCCCUGUGGACAGCUCCCGGAGGGCUGAGAAGGCUCCUCGGUCACCUCCCUGUCUGCGGGCGUGGGGAAGGCUCCUGAACACAGCAAUGAAUGAGUCAGAUCCAACUUCCCACUCAGUCUUUUUCUCCUGUGAAUGCAUAGGAUGUGAGGAAAUGGAUGAAAACACAUAAAUCUAAAUUGGGAUCACUUAGUUUCGUAUCCUGCUUUUUUUCCUGCAUUUUUAUGAAUUACUUAAUACAUACAAAGAGUGUGUGUACCGUUUAAAGAACAGUAAUAAAAUAAACAGCCAGAUCUCCACUACGCAAUUUGAGAAUUAUAUCCUACUUUUCCACUUAGCGUUGUGCUCUGGACGUUUUCCCGUGCCAUUAAAUAUUCUCUGAGAACUUGGGUUUUAACGGC
rnacentral:lncRNA from 1 species